UAUUUUUUCUUGGUGUAUAGG
rnacentral:piRNA from 1 species